rnacentral:tRNA from 1 species
GCGCUCGUGGCCCAACGGACACGGCAUCUGCCUACGGAGCAGAGGAUUGGGGGUUCGAAUCCCUCCGAGCGCACCA